CACUGAUUUGACCAGAGGGCAACUGGCAAUGCAAUACAACUGCAGAACAGCCUCAGCUCAAGAGGCCAAGGGGUACCAAGAUAGGAUUGAUAAACUGGACACUGUCUUAGGUGAUGCAGUGUUAUUUUUAGAGGGCCAGCACUGAUGAGCACCCAGAUGAUAACACUUUGCCAUGUGUACCUCAAACUUAAUAAAGAAGAAAAUCUGUCAGAGGAAAACUUUACAGGCAAAUGAUGCACAGGGCUGCCCUGCAAAGUCCA